rnacentral:lncRNA from 1 species
AGGCAGGGCUCCGGCUGGGAGUCAGUGCCCACUUCCCGGCCUCUCUCGGGCCCCAGACCUUGUAGGAAGGGCCCGGCUGCUUUUUCCCCAAAGGAUGACGCAUCAGAUUCCUGCUUCCCAGGACAGAGGGAAGGGCAGCAGCAGGAGACCUCUGACAUUAGGACACCGAGCACCCUGACGCCUUCCAACACCAGACCACAGAGGCAAGACAGACCAGCUUCCUCCCCCAGGGGACCCCAGGAAGAGACAGAGAGGCAGAGCAGAAGCAGCAGGAAGAACACACUUUCAGAGCCCGUGAUAUCUGCAGAAGUGAGAGUCACCAACUUCAAGGCACCACAGGUCCGAAAAGGUGGGUGUUAAUGCUCUGGUCCCCCUGCAGUUUUAACCCACUAUUACUGCUCACACUGCAGACAACACAGCAGUACCAACUACUGUGCAUGCCCUUGUUCCUGCUAUGGAGUAAGUUGGCUUCUACCCAACCAUUCUGGUUAAACAGCACAUACAAUUGUUUUGCCAGGACCCAAGAACAGUAAGCCUCCAGUAUUAUAUAGGGCACGCUAUGAAGAAGAUAAACACAGGAUGAGCAAGCCAUUCGCUGUAGUCACUUUUCAGUGAGUAACCUAAAUAUUCCUGCAUAGGAUUGGGGCUUUCCAAGGGGAGUAUGCUGCAGUGUUAAUGCUGACCUAACAGAAGAGAAGAAGAAAGAAUAUAUUUGGCUGCUGAAUUAAUUCCAACUUCUUCCAAGUCAGUUCUUCGUAAAAAUUAUUCCCAGCUCUCCCUCAAACCAUUACUGUGUUAGUGAAAUCUCAGCUAAACACUGAAUUGGGCCUGCAUUUUCAGUACUCAGCUCCUAAAUGCUUGGUGCUUGCGAAAAGGUGAGCCUUGUGUAGGUGUUGGUGUUGGGGCAGAGCACAGUCAGAGCUAGAUGUGUGAUGUAGGGUCCAAUUGCCCGAAGUGUUGACUGAUAACAGAUGAAACGUACCCACAGCAAGAAGUCUUUGCCAAACUCGCCCUGGACUAAUGUGCACUGGUGACUUGGACUGCCCUACAAGCCGUUACACUGCUCCAUCCGAGCUAGUGCCACUGGUAUGCUCAACCUAGGGACUUGCUACUCAUGCUCCAGUGAUGGUCAUACAUGGUAUACUGGAUUUUCAUGAAAAUGUAAAACACCAUCCACUGUAAAUGGAGUGAUCUCACUUAGGAGCUGUGAAUAGUUUAAAGCUCUCAACAUAUGCCCACUGGGUGGGGCAGAUCACUUGAUAUAGCUUCCCCCUUGGAAAAUGCUUUAUUAGCAAAGGCUAUAUACUCUGACCCCAAUAAAUAUGCUGGGACAUGAAUAUAUGUGCGUGAA